rnacentral:rRNA from 1 species
GACGAACGCUGGCGGCGUGCUUAACACAUGCAAGUCGAACGGAAAGGCCCUGCUUUUGUGGGGUGCUCGAGUGGCGAACGGGUGAGUAACACGUGAGUAACCUGCCCUUGACUUUGGGAUAACUUCAGGAAACUGGGGCUAAUACCGGAUAGGAGCUCCUGCUGCAUGGUGGGGGUUGGAAAGUUUCGGCGGUUGGGGAUGGACUCGCGGCUUAUCAGCUUGUUGGUGGGGUAGUGGCUUACCAAGGCUUUGACGGGUAGCCGGCCUGAGAGGGUGACCGGCCACAGUGGGACUGAGAUACGGCCCAGAAUCCUACGGGAGGCAGCAGGGGGGAAUAUUGCACAAUGGGCGGAAGCCUGAUGCAGCAACGCCGCGUGCGGGAUGAAGGCCUUCGGGUUGUAAACCGCUUUCGCCUGUGACGAAGCGUGAGUGACGGUAAUGGGUAAAGAAGCACCGGCUAACUACGUG